rnacentral:lncRNA from 1 species
CCAUAACACACUUGAUGUUGUUUUAGAUGCAGAAUUCUUUACAAGAAAUUAGAAGAUUUGCUCAAUGCGAAUUUAGUUUGACAUUCAAGUUGAAAAUUUUAAAUUUCAUGAAGAGAUUCGGGAAGAUAUUAUGUUUUACCUUGUGUGGAUACAUGUACGUUACCAAGAAAUUUCCGAUUAAGAUGGCGAGAUCUUUGAACUCUAUAUUUGACGGUCUAUUGAAUCUCCGUGAAGCCGAAAAAAAAUCAGGAAAGUGUGAAAUUGCCUCCAUUCUGAAUAAUACAAAUUAGAUGAUAUGCUCGCAGAGCCAACCCAACCCCAGGGUGCAAAGGAUGCACCGCACCCAGGCGGCAAGAAACAAAUAUCAAAUAUUUAUUUUAUAUAGUUAAAAUCUUAAUCUUAUGUAC